rnacentral:rRNA from 1 species
CUACGGAGGGUCCAAGCGUUAUCCGGAUUCAUUGGGUUUAAAGGGUCCGCAGGCGGGAAAAUAAGUCAGUGGUGAAAGCCUACAGCUCAACUGUAGAACUGCCAUUGAUACUGUUUUUCUUGAGUAUAGAUGAAGUGGGCGGAAUAUAUCAUGUAGCGGUGAAAUGCAUAGAUAUGAUAUAGAACACCGAUUGCGAAGGCAGCUCACUAAACUAUUACUGACGCUCAGGGACGAAAGCGUGGGGAGCGAACAGGAUUAGAUACCCCGGUAGUCC